rnacentral:lncRNA from 1 species
UAGCUAUAGCUAAGGAUAACAGUUUAGUUGACGCAACCCCUCAUGCCAGUUUUUACAGUUUCUGCCUCGGGUAUGAAUCAACAGUGCCACUUCUCUACAAAACUGAUCUUCAACAAAAACCUUGCUAUCAAAACGAAUAGAGUUCCUGGCUCUCCAGAUCAAUGCAACAGUAGUGACAAAAGCAGUAGCAGUGAGUGCUUUAUGCCAUAUUUUGCUCCGAGCCUUGCUGCAUAUCCAUUGAAGUUCAUUCUCUCAAGUGCUAACUAUUUGAUUAUAACCCAUCCAACAGCAUAUUCUGAGCCAUAAUCGAUUAGUGACUGGGCAUGCAAAGAAUAAAUGCUCAAACC